rnacentral:rRNA from 1 species
CCUACGGGUGGCAGCAGUCGAGAAUCUUUCACAAUGGGGGAAACCCUGAUGGUGCGACGCCGCGUGGGGGAUUGAAGUCCUCGGGAUGGUAAACCCUUGUCAAGUGGGAGCAAAUUAAAAAGAUAGUAUCAUAAGAGGAAGAGGCGACCAACUCUGGGCCAGCAGCCGCGGUAAUACCGAGGUCGCAAGCGUUGUCCGGAAUCACUGGGCGUAAAGGGUGCGUAGGCUGUUUGGUAAGUCGUGUGUGAAAGGUCCGGGCUCAACCCGCGGACUGCUCAUGAUACUGGGAGACUAGAGUGAGGGAGGGGGAACCGGAAUUCCAGGUGUAGCAGUGAAAUGCGUAGAUAUCGGGAGGAACACUAGUGGCGAAGGCGGGUUACUGGACAUUAACUGACGCUGAGGCACGAAAGCGUGGGGAGCAAACAGGAUUAGAUACCCGAGUAGUC